rnacentral:rRNA from 1 species
AUUGAACGCUGGCGGCACGCCUAACACAUGCAAGUCGAGCGGUAGCAUGAUCUGUAGCAAUACAGAUUGAUGACGAGCGGCGGACGGGUGAGGAACACGUAGGAACUUGCCCAAUAGAGGGGGAUAACUAAGGGAAACUUUAGCUAAUACCGCAUAUUCUCGAGAGAGGAAAGCUGCCCGCAAGGGUGGCGCUAUUGGAGAGGCCUGCGUCCGAUUAGCUAGUUGGUGAGGUAAAGGCUCACCAAGGCGAGGAUCGGUAACUGGUCUUAGAGGACGACCAGUCACACUGGGACUGAGACACGGCCCGGACUCCUACGGGAGGCAGCAGUGGGGAAUCUUGGACAAUGGGGGCAACCCUGAUCCAGCGAGGCCGCGUGAGUGAAGAAGGCCUUCGGGUCGUAAAGCUCUUUAGGUUGGGAGUAAGGUUAGUAUUUUAAGAGAUAACUAAUUUGACUGUACCGACAGAAUAAGCACCGGCAAACUCUGUGCCAGCCGCCGCUGUAAUAC